rnacentral:rRNA from 1 species
AUUGAACGCUGGCGGCAGGCCUAACACAUGCAAGUCGAACGAGUGGCGGACGGGUGAGUAAUGUCUGGGAAACUGCCCGAUGGAGGGGGAUAACUACUGGAAACGGUAGCUAAUACCGCAUACAAUCGGAUGUGCCCAGAUGGGAGUAGCUAGUGGGUGGGGUAACGGCUCACCUAGGCGGCGAUCCCUAUCUGGUCUGAGAGGAUGACCAGCCACCCUGGAACUUGGACCAGGUCCAGGCUCCUACGGGAGGCAGCAGUGGGGAAUAUUGCACAAUGGGCGCAAGCCGGAUGCAGUCCUGCCGCGUGUAUGAAGAAGGCUUUCGGGUUGUAAAGUACUUUCAGCGAGGAGGCGUUACUCGCAGGAGAAGCACCGGCUAACUCCGUGCCAGCAGCCGCGGUAAUAC